GACGAACGCUGGCGGCGUGCUUAACACAUGCAAGUCGAACGAAGUGGCGAACGGGUGAGUCACGCGUAAUCAACCUGCCCGUCAGAGGGGGACAACAGUUGGAAACGACUGCUAAUACCGCAUACUGAAGGAGGGGAUUGUGUCUGAUUAGCUAGUUGGCGGGGUAACGGCCCACCAAGGCGAUGAUCAGUAGCCGGUCUGAGAGGAUGAACGGCCACAUUGGGACUGGGACACGGCCCAGACUCCUACGGGAGGCAGCAGGGGGGAAUCUUCCGCAAUUGACGAAAGUCUGACUGAGCAACGCCGCGUGGGUGAUGACGGCCUUCGGGUUGGAAAGCUCUGUUAAUCGGGACGCGGUACCGGAAUAGAAAGCCACGGCUAACUACGUGCCAGCCGCCGCGGUAAUUC
rnacentral:rRNA from 1 species